GAGGAGUGAGGAGAACAAGGCAUAGAAAAUGCGGUCAUAUCGAUCAGAAACUCGCAAGAGGAGGGCGAUGAUCAAAUGGGAAAGCCUCAACAGCGACCUCUUGCUCCACAUAUUCCUCCGAUUGGAACCGCUCUUCUUGCUAACCACCGUCGCCUUCGUGUGCCGACCGUGGGGCCGCCUGUGCUUCAGCCGGUUCCUGACCAAAGACGGCGAGAAAACCCUAGACUUGGGCGGACUCAAAUGCGACAGGUCUGGGUUCCUGUUUCCUACUGGACCCUACGGACGCAUAGGGACGGCCGGCUUGAUGAAGUUGAUUCGGGCUGUGAUGGACGUGUAUUCAUGUGAUGAUUAUGACCGCGUCGAUGAUGGUGAUGGAACUAGGGUUACGCCGUUUACGAAAAUGGUGUUUCCUUUUGGGCCUUUUGUAUGGAGUGAUGCUCACCUUGUCUAUGUUGCAGAAAGGUCACCAGAUCUUAGAGAACUCACUCUACCUUGUGGGUCAGAAAUCACACAUAAAGGAUUUUCAAGGGCUCUCCGCUACUGGAAUGAGAUAGAGAAGAUGUCAAUUGGUCCAUUCCGAAACAAUUAUGAUGUUUAUCGUAUCAUUGAAGCUGCAGGCAUAAUCUGCAAGAAGUUAGAAGUUCUAAGCUUGUCUGGCUUCUUCGUAAAUCUGCAAUUGUCUCCUCAAAUUGCUCAGAAUCUAAAGGGUGUCAAACUACUGAGAUUGGAAAAAGCUUACAUAGGAAAAGUUGCUUUGAAGAAUAUCCUAUCCAAAUGUAAGAAACUUCAGAAAGUAGAGAUCUGGCAUUGCCUUACCUUGGAAGGUAAUGAAUCAGACUUAUUGGCAUCAUGUGAGAUAAAGAAGACUGAAGUUGAUGGUGUUAUUAAAUGGUCCCUUGUUGGAGAUGCAGAACCCCAUAUCCUGAAGAAUCUACUGAAUUUACUUUGGCAGGGGAGUAAUUAAGUGCUCAAUCUUAUGAAGGAUUCGACAUGGUUUUGUUGCUUUCAAGCAAGUUCAUAACAUGCAUGUCCCCAUGAUCGGCAGAACCCAGCGCUGUUCAAUACAAAGAAUCCUGGAUCGAAGAGGGCAAAGAUGUACAUUGAGUGAUCUCUCAAGACCCAUGUGUGUCUCACCACCGUUCAUCCUUUGGUGGUGCUUUUACCUUCAAUUCUUCUUCCCUUCCUACUGCUGCUGUGAUCUUCAAUAUGCAUGAAAACAGAUAUGCUUGCUAUGCAUUUCUGGAAGUCGAGGCUGAUCAUCGAAGGAGGACUUGUUUUGUGCUCUAUAGGAUGGGAUAACGCCGUUCAUUUCAAAUGGUCUUACUCAGUGCACACUCUCUCCUUAAGAAUGUUGUAGGUGGAGUUCAAAGUUGAUAAGAUCCCAAGGGCUCAUGGAAUUUCCUUAUUUUUCCCUUCAACAAGGACGACUUCAUCUUCUCGAACAGUUUAUCGGCAAGGCGAUCAAUCACAGACAUGGGGAUCUGUUGUCGUAUCCUUUCUCUCUAUCCUUUUAUAAUUUCUAAAAGGGCAAGUGUCCACUUAUAUUAGUCAUAAUUAUACCAGUGAUUCUUCACGGCCCUCUUUUCUCAGUUCUUGCGCCUCAAUUUAACAUUUGAUCCAUAACCUCCCCCAAUCUAGGUCAGCAUAUCCACCACCACUUUCUCCAUCGCCCAGUAUAUCAGGGCAUUUAGUACGAUGCACUUCAUAUCAUGUAACUUAUGCCUCCCUCUUUUGUAACUGAAGUUAUUUCUGGAUGGAAAAACCGUACUUAAUUGAGAUGCCUCACUUUCCCGUUACUUCUUGUUGCUAAGACACAGUGGUUGCUUGAAAGAGAGAUUUUCCGAUUGUGCUCUGCUCUUCAAUUGAAAUUAUCUUGACACGGAAAACUCUACUUACUGGUGGAUGGUAAGUGGUAAGAAAUGCUUCAAAGACAUUAGUUCCAUGUAUGUGGAACAUUCCACUACCUUUGUUCAUCACAUUUAUAACUAAUCAAUUCGUGAUGCCAUUCGUUUUUUUUCCCAAGAAACGUUUUCAAAGUUUAGGAAUCCUUCCUAGAAAUUUGUAGGUGUUGUUUGACUGGACGUUCAGUCUUGAUUGUUGUUAAAUGCAUAUGGAUUCCAGAAAUAUCUUCAUCUCUCCACUCUGGUAGAUGUCAAUCGCCUAACAUGCUUAAAAAGGUUUGAAUUAAUUCGUUGAAGAGAUGAUUAGAACCAUUAGGGCACCGAAAAGGUUGGACUUUAAAAUCGUCAAUACUCUUAUGUUUUUCCAUAGCCACCUUUCAGUCGGUUUGUUUUAGUGCUUUCAGGAAGCAAGGCUUUGAUCUGCAUAGGGAUCAUGGAGGAAAAACAUGGGAGUGUUUUCUUUCUGUUUCUAAUUACAAACAGAAGAGCAGGGAUACUGCAGAUGAUGAUGCCAUGAGUUAAAGAAAAGAAGACUUUAAAGAUAAUUAAGAUAUUGCAAACGUGCUUAUGUUUCUCUUUCUGCACAUUUGAUAUGUUGAAUGUAGUACAGUUGCCAUGGGGAUGUAGCAUCUUCUUCAUCAUUGUCCAGUUAGAUUUUGGUUUUCUCCCUAUUUUGGAAACAUUCCCUUAUAUGUGCUGUGGGAGCAAGUGUUUGUAGGAUAUAUUGUACACUAUUGCUGUAUUGUGUUGAGAAUAAAGGAAUCGUAACCUUUAUUGU